rnacentral:tRNA from 1 species
GGACGAUUAGCUCAAUGGCAGAGCAUCUGCUUUACACGCAGAGGGUUGCAGGUUCGAGUCCUGCAUCGUCCA